GUGCUUUAUGUAAAUCAGCCCAGGAGACUUCCUGUGCUUAAGAAUAAGAAUCCAGGGGUGCAGAAUGGCCUGGCCAAGUCCAAGCUGUUCUGGAGGAAAGAAGGACAGAAGACUCAUGGGAAAAGAAGGAAAGGAGAUGAACUCCGUCUUGCAUUUCCUCUUCUUACUGUGCUGCUUCUCAGCCUCUUCCAGUAUUCAGCUGACUGAGUCUGGCCCAGGUGUGGUGAACCCUGGAGGGACAUUCAAGCUCACCUGUGUGGUUUCUGGAGUUGAAGUUGGUGGUUGGUUCUGGGGCUGGAACCGGCAGCUUCCAGGGAAAGCGCUGCAAUGGAUGGGAAGCAUUGAGAACUCUGUAAAUGGUGGGAAACCCUUCUACAAUGCUGUGUUUAGCAAUCGGAUCAGCAUCACCAGGGACACUUCCAGGAAUGAAUUCUACCUUGAGUUGCGAUCUGUGACGGCUGCAGAUACCGCAACGUAUUUCUGUACUCGAGUUCGGCAGCGCACAGUAAUGCAAGGCUCUGGGGCAUCCCGACACAAACCACAGGAGGGCUCAGCCACCUGCACAGCUUCUCAUGUGUAA